rnacentral:lncRNA from 1 species
UACAUCGAGAGAAAGUAUUGUUGCCACAUUUCCAUCCCUUACCAUAUAUACGUAGAAACUUUCUGUCUUAACUAUUCUUCAAAAACUUGGGAAGAUUAUCCUUGUCACACAUGCAGUACACAGAUGUUAAUAUCACUUAGUUGGGAAUAGGUGGCAGCAGGGAAACACUGCAUGCUCAUUUGAUCCCUCAGGGAGGCUUACAGUAAAGAGCAAGUCGUGGUGCCAUUUGAUGUCCAUGAUCCAAAGCUGCUGCCGGAUAUGGAGCUGUGACAGGAACGGAUAUAGUUCGAUGAAGGGAAAUAAUUCUAAGGCAGUGCAUACUAGAGAUUAUACACAUAGCUUAAAAGUCAUAUGUGAAAUGAUUAAUUAAGCAUUAGCUAUUACAAGCUUUAAAAAGCAAGUUUGUUUGAUCUGUUAAAAAAGUUUCUAGAUAAAUAGCUUUACCAAAGAAAAAACUGUAUUCAAUAUAGAGCCUCCAAAUCCAUCCCAGGAUGAUCCCGGAUGAUAGAUCCUUACUGGGAAAAAGGAUUUGAUCCUAUAUAUACCAUUUUUAUUUUUAGACAGUAAGACAUUUCUAUGCUUUUCAACCAAAUCCUUGCAGGGAAGAAGCAUGUUUUUACUAAAAUUG